GUUUCUGCCAGAUGAACUGCUGGGCCUUGUCCGCUCUUGGCUCCUGUCUUCACAGACUUGAGAGUGAACCAGACAUGCAGCCCCCCUGUCUGCAUCCCCCUGGGUUUCCAGCUCCCCCGAGGUAACCAUGGUGCAGAUGCAGGAGCACCUGUGUGCUGCCCUUCCGCUACCACUGCUCAUCCUCUGGCUCCAUCCUCUGCUGAUUCAUCCCUCUGGUCAUCCUCAGAGAUUGAGGAGGCUUUGGCCAUGGCAAGCACAGGCUCCUCAGUGAGUGAGCUUGAAGAGGGGAAUGAUUGAGCAAGCCACAGCAGUCUGUGACAGCCCUGCUACAAGGACCACCUUGACUUUUGCCCCCUUCCCUGACUCCACAAAGGGAUGUUAACUCUGCAGCCUAAGUAUGAUUAAGAAUGAUGAAUUAAGAAUGACUCCCCUCAGUGAUCUUGUUGAUGCUUUUGCUACAAAAGUUUUCUUUCCUCUGGAACU